rnacentral:rRNA from 2 species
UACGGGGGGUGCAAGCGUUGUUCGGAAUCAUUGGGCGUAAAGAGCGUGUAGGCGGUUGGACAAGUCAGAUGUGAAAGCCCUGGGCUCAACCCAGGAAGUGCAUUUGAAACUGUUCAGCUAGAGUAAGGGAGAGGAAAGUGGAAUUCCUGGUGUAGAGGUGAAAUUCGUAGAUAUCAGGAGGAACACCGGUGGCGAAGGCGACUUUCUGGCCCUAUACUGACGCUGAGACGCGAAAGCGUGGGGAGCAAAC